UGCAUCCAUACCCUGUUCUUCAUUACUUCAUUGCGUGGUCCGGCUGCUGAAAUCGACCAAUAUGUGGAUGAGUAUUAUUCUGUCGCCAAGUUUAAUGCAACAUAUGCUGAGAAUGUUCCUUCUAUUGAGUCACAGUAUCAGUGGGACAUCAUUGAUCCAGGAUUCAUUCUCCACGCUCCAUUGCAGACAAGAGCACCAGGAAGGCCAAAGAAGACUAGAAUAAGAUCAAGUGCAGAGGGCACUGGACUUGGCCCUAGGAAGCGAAAAUGUAGAAGAUGUGGAGAAUUAGGACAUUUUGCUAGUAAAUGUAGAAAUGCAGUUGAUCCAUCUUUUGGAGAAGAUCAGCAUUGGGGUGCAGAAAAUGCAGUAGAGCCCUCCAGGAAAAAGAAUGCACCUAAGCGGAGGAAAAAGAAGGAAGGAGAAGACACUAUUGCUAUAGUGCCACUAGCUGAGCCCUCCACUCUUGUGUCACAACAGAGGAAAAGGAAGAGGGGAAAAAAGGUGGUACGCCCAGCUGAAGACGGGAAAAGCAAGCGUCCUGUCCGAUCAAAGAAGAUGAGGCAGAUUCUGGAUUUGUAAUAUUUCCAUAUUUCUAUGUGUGGUUGAACCUAGAACUAAUUGUAAUAUUUCUAUGUGUGGUUGAACUAUUUGUGGUGCAACAUUAUAUAUGCAUA